AACGAACGCUGGCGGCAUGCCUAACACAUGCAAGUCGAAUGAAGGCUUCGGCCUUAGUGGCGCACGGGUGCGUAACGCGUGGGAACCUGCCCUUUGCUUCGGAAUAACAGUUAGAAAUGACUGCUAAUACCGGAUGAUGUCGCAAGACUAAAGAUUUAUCGGCAAAGGAUGAGCCCGCGCAGGAUUAGCUAGUCGGUGGGGUAAAGGCCUACCAAGGCGACGAUCCUUAGCUGGUCUGAGAGGAUGAUCAGCCACACUGGUACUGAGACACGGCCCAGACUCCUACGGGAGGCAGCAGUAGGGAAUAUUGGACAAUGCGCGACAGCCUGAUCCAGCAAUGCCGCGUGAGGGAUGAAGGCCUUAGGGUUGUAAAGCUCUUUUGCCCGGGAUGAUAAUGACAGUACCGGGAGAAUAAGCUCCGGCUAACUCCGUG
rnacentral:rRNA from 1 species